rnacentral:rRNA from 1 species
CCCUUAGAUGUUCUGGGCUGCACGCGCGCUACACUGAAGCGUUCAACGAGUAUUCACCUUGCCCGGGAGGGUUGGGUAAUCUUUUGAAAACGCUUCGUGAUGGGGAUAGAUUAUUGCAAUUAUUAAUCUUCAACGAGGAAUUCCUAGUAAGCGUGAUUCAUCAAAUCGCGUUGAUUACGUCCCUGCCCUUUGUACACACCGCCCGUCGCUCCUACCGAUUGAAUGUGUUGGUGAGGAGCUCGGAUUGGCAGCAGUUGGUGGUUCGCCACCGGCUAUUGCUGAGAAGUCCUCCAAACCGCCCCAUUUAGAGGAAGGAGAAGUCGUAACA